rnacentral:rRNA from 1 species
UUCGAAGCAACGCGAAGAACCUUACCAGGCCUUGACAUGCAGAGAACUUUCCAGAGAUGGAUUGGUGCCUUCGGGAACUCUGACACAGGUGCUGCAUGGCUGUCGUCAGCUCGUGUCGUGAGAUGUUCGGGUUAAGUCCCGCAACGAGCGCAACCCUUGCCUUUAGUUGCCAGCAGUUCGGCUGGGCACUCUAAAGGGACUGCCGGUGUUAAACCGGAGGAAGUGGGGAUGACGUCAAGUCCUCAUGGCCUUUAUGACCAGGGCUACACACGUACUACAAUGGCCGAUACAAAGGGCAGCGACACUGCGAGGUGAAGCCAAUCCCGUAAAAUCGGUCUCAGUCCGGAUUGGAGUCUGCAACUCGACUCCAUGAAGUUGGAAUCGCUAGUAAUCGUGGAUCAGCAUGCCACGGUGAAUACGUUCCCGGGCCUU